GGAGAGGUGUCCGAGCGGCCUAAGGAGCACGAUUGGAAAUCGUGUGUGCUGUUAAAAGCGGCACCGCGGGUUCAAAUCCCGCCCUCUCCG
rnacentral:tRNA from 1 species